rnacentral:rRNA from 1 species
UACGUAGGGUGCAAGCGUUGUCCGGAAUUCUUGGGCGUAAAGCGCUUGUAGGCGGUUUGUCACGUCCGCUGUGAAAACUUGAGGCUCAACCUCAAGCUGUCGGUGGAAACCCCUUGGCUAGAGUCCGGAAGAGGAGAGUGGAAUUCCUGGUGUAGCGGUGAAAUGCGCAGAUAUCAGGAAGAACACCGGUGGCGAAGGCGGCUCUCUGGACCGAGACUGACGCUGAGGCGCGAAAGCGUGGGGAGCAAACAGG